rnacentral:rRNA from 1 species
UACGUAGGGGGCAAGCGUUGUCCGGAUUUAUUGGGCGUAAAGAGCGUGUAGGCGGCUUGGUAGGUCCGCUGUGAAAACUCGAGGCUCAACCUCGAGAUGUCGGCGGAAACCACUUGGCUAGAGUCUGGAAGAGGAGAGUGGAAUUCCUGGUGUAGCGGUGAAAUGCGUAGAUAUCAGGAGGAACACCUGUGGCGAAAGCGGCUCACUGGACCACAACUGACGCUGAGGCGCGAAAGCUAGGGGAGCAAACAGG